CUGGAAAGGACACUCUGAAUCCUGCUGAGCAGCCUGCAGGCUGUGAAGUAUGUUCCAGGUUCCCAGCUUUGUGUGAGCUAUCAUCCAUGCUGGGGUGAGCUUUGAUGAUAAAGCUGUCUUUGGGUCAUUUCUGCCACUGACAACUGCAUUAAGCUCUCCCAUCCCUCAUCAGACACAGCAAAACUUUCUUUCUCAUUGAGACAUGGAAUAUUUGUUCCUCCUGAUUCUCACAGGCGUUUGGAAACAGCAGAAUUGACG
rnacentral:lncRNA from 1 species